rnacentral:rRNA from 1 species
UGCCCAAAAGCUAGCCCCCCCCCCCAAAACAAAAAUCAAUAUUAAUACCCCCAGAGAUACCAACAACCGUAUAAACAAACCAUUUUACCCCCCUAGUAUGGGAGACAGAAAAGGGCCCCGGAGCAAUAGAGAAAGUACCGUAAGGGAAAGCUGAAAGAGAAAUGAAAUAACUCAGCAAAGCUUAAAAAAGCAGAGACUUCAACUCGUACCUUUUGCAUCAUGAUUUAGCCAGUAUUACUCAAGCAAAGCGGACUUUAGUUUGACCCCCCGAAACUAGGUGAGCUACUCCAGGACAGCCUAUUAAUAGGGCCAACCCGUCUCUGUGGCAAAAGAGUGGGACGAACUUUGAGUAGAGGUGACAAGCCUAUCGAACUUAGUUAUAGCUGGUUGCCUGAGAAAUGGAUAGGAGUUCAGCCUCUUGGAUUCUUUAUUGACCCAAAAUUUAAACCUGCGCACAUCAAAAGAAGCCGUGAGAGUUAGUCGAAGGGGGUACAGCCCCUUCGAAACAAGACACAACUUUACCCAGGUGGUUAAAGAUCAUAAAACUUAAGGCAAAAUGUUCCGGUGGGCUUGAAAGCAGCCACUCCCUAUAGAAAGCGUCAAAGCUCGUACACACCCCUCCCGCCCUUAAUUCCGAUAACUUAAUCUUACACCCCUAAUUUUACCAGGCCGCCCCAUGCAAGCAUGGGGGCGACCAUGCUAAUAUGAGUAAUAAGGGGGCUAGGCCCCCUCCUUGCACACGUGUAAAUCGUAAUGGACCCCCCACCGAACCUUAACGGACCCAAACACAGAGGGUAAUGAACAAAAAAUCAAACAACCAGAAAACUAUUCAAUAAAAGACCGUUAACCCCACACUGGUGUGCCCCUUAGGAAAGACUAAAAGAAAAAGAAGGAACUCGGCAAACCCGAGCCUCGCCUGUUUACCAAAAACACCGCCUCUUGCAAGACCUGAAUAUAAGAGGUCCCGCCUGCCCUGUGACUUUAUGUUUAACGGCCGCGGUAUUUUAACCGUGCGAAGGUAGCGCAAUCACUUGUCUUUUAAAUGGAGACCUGUAUGAAUGGCAUGACGAGGGCUUAACUGUCUCCUUUUUCAAGUCAAUGAAAUUGAUCCCCCCGUGCAGAAGCGGGGAUAGAGCCAUAAGACGAGAAGACCCUGUGGAGCUUAAGACACUAAAGCAGCCCAUGUAAAACACCCCUAAUAAAGGAUUAAACCUAGUGAACCUCUGCCCUGAUGUCUUUGGUUGGGGCGACCACGGGGAGACAUAGAACCCCCGCGCGGGAGGAACACCCUUUCUUCCUUACAGCCAAGAGCCCCCGCUCUAAUAAACAGAAUUUCUGACCUAUAUAGAUCCGGCAAAGCCGAUCAACGGACCGAGUUACCCCAGGGAUAACAGCGCAAUCCCCUUCUAGAGCCCAUAUCGACAAGGGGGCUUACGACCUCGAUGUUGGAUCAGGACAUCCUAAUGGUGCAACCGCUAUUGAGGGUUCGUUUGUUCAACGAUUAAAGUCCUACGUGAUCUGAGUUCAGACCGGAGUAAUCCAGGUCAGUUUCUAUCUAUGUAAUGAUCUCUCCUAGUACGAAAGGACCGGAGAGAAGAGGCCCCUGCUUAAAGUACGCCUCCCCCUCCCUAAUGUAAACAACUAAAAUAGACAAAAGGGCAUUCAUUUCCCCGCCUAAGAUAAAGGCAC